rfam:Triticum aestivum genome assembly, contig: Triticum_aestivum_CS42_TGACv1_scaffold_049983_1BS
UUUGUACCCCCUCCGUCCGAAAAUAUUUGUCAUCAAAAUGGAUAAAAAGAGAUGUAUCUAGAAUUAAUAUAUGUCUAGAUACAUCCCCUUUUAUUUUUUUUGAUACAAGUAUUUCCGAACUGAGGGAGUAGUAU